rnacentral:rRNA from 1 species
CCCGGUGAUUAUAGCGAUCGGGUACCACCUCUUUCCAUUCCGAACAGAGAAGUUAAACCGAUCUGCGCCGAUGAUAUUGCCUUUUGGUGAGAAAGUAGGACAUCGCCGGGU